UUUAUCGUCCAUUCUCUAAAGUUCAAAGGCAGGGGUGCCUCCUGCUUUGCAGACUACACUCAUCUCAGUGUGGUCGCCAGACAAUCGACGCCUCAACAGCCAGGAGAAGCGAGGACGCAAAGGCAAACUGCGGUGGCUAAUCCUCCAGAAACGCCUUGGAGCUUUUUACCAAUAAGUGGCCCCCCGCGCCAUCGCGUUAAUCUGCCUCCACGUCCCUACCUCCUAAGAAUCGCUCCGGGCGUGGCUUGUGGACAAGUUGUGGCAAGUCCCGGCCAGAGUGGAGGAGAGCGGCAGCCCGCCCGUUUGCCCUGAAGGGGAGGGGGUCCCCGGUACCCGAUUCGGGGCCGCGCACCGGGUGGACUUGGGGACAGAGACGGGCCACCGGCAGCGGUCCCGCCAGGCAGCCAUGUUCGCGCGCGCGCGCCCACCCGCGCGGCAGACACUGAGCAGUCACCCAUGCACUCAGUUCAGUGAGGAGAUAGCAUGCUGGUAUCUAAAUAGCCUUACGGAGGCGGGACCAUAAAGACACAGGAAGGUGAGAGGAUACAUUGGAGAGUCAGAGAACACUUUCUACACACUUGGUUCUCUAAAGGGAAUGAUCGUGAAAAAGAAGGAAUGAGUUUGGU